AAACCAGCACCUCAAGUGGUCAGGAGGAUUAUUGGGCCUAAAGCAUCCGUAGCCUGUUCUGUAAGUUUUCGGUUAAAUCCACUAGCUCAACUAGUGGGCUGCCGAAAAUACUGUAGAACUAGGGAGUGGGAGAGGUAGACGGUAUUCGGUAGGAAGGGGUAAAAUCCUUUGAUCUAUUGAGGACCACCUGUGGCGAAGGCGGUCUACCAGAACACGUUCGACGGUGAGGGAUGAAAGCUGGGGGAGCAAACCGGAUUAGAAACCCCAGUAGUCC
rnacentral:rRNA from 1 species